rnacentral:lncRNA from 1 species
GAAACAGCAAAAGAUGGAUCGAAGUAAAGUAAUAGAAAUCAUUUAUAUAAAUAGGGGGUAGAGAUAGAGGCAUCGCCAUAGCAGGCCCUAGAUCAUUUCGGCACCGAUCACAUAAUGACAUAUGCUCCAAUCAGCUCGACAAACUUGACAAUGAUUCCUUUACCCAUCUCAACAUUCAUGAAGCCACCGUUGAUUAUGUAAACACAGUAAGCCCAACAAGAGAGAUGGGCUCAGGUGAUGAGUUGAAGACUAAGGCCCAGUCAAAGAUCUCAACGGCUAAGACUACAAAACGUGAAGACAAAGCUUCCUCUACUGCAAGACAGAGUACGAACUCUAGCAUUAAAAUGCAGAACAGGUUUUGUCUUCUUACAGACAAAGACUCAUGAGAUCUACUUUACAGCUGAGCAGAAUAUGCUACAGUAUAUUCUAUUAGGGCUUUUGUAUUCACCUCAUGUAUAAAUAAACAAUCUUGUAAUCUCUUCUUCUCUAAGCAAUGAGAAUGAAUAUUUGAUAAACCCUAGCUUUUACUCUGUCCUUCUUGUUUCAUUUUGCUUACAUGGUAUCAGAGCCAUGGCGGCUCCAACUCCCUCCGACGUUUUUACUCCAGCGCUGCUCUCCAUUACUCAAGUCGUCACCUUGAAGCUCAGUGACACUAACUAUCUGUCCUGGAAGCUUCAGUUCGAACAGUUUCUCAACAGUCAGCUUCUUCUUGGCUACGUCAAUGGAACAACUCCCUGUCCACCACCUACUCUCACGGUGCGCAACGGAGACCAAUUAACUGAAGCCAACAAUCCUGCCUUUCUCAAAUGGGUUCACACAGAUCAACUUAUCAAGGCAUGGUUGAUAGGUUCCCUGUCUGAAGAAGCUCUCAAAAGUAUCUAUGGUCUACACUCUUCUCAGGAAAUCUGGUUUGCGCUUGCCAAAAAAUACAACAGAGUCUCUGCUACUAGAAGACUUGACAUACAGAGGCGUAUUCAGACAACUCUCAAGGGCUCCAAACCUUUGUCUCAGUACCUGUCAGAGAUAAAAACAUUGUGUGACCAACUUGACUCCAUUGGAGCUCCGAUCUCUGAACAAGAAAAAAUAUAUGGAGUACUGAAUGGUCUAGGGAGAGAAUAUGAAGCUAUUGUUACAGUGAUUGAAGACUCCAUGGACACGCCACCAGGACCAAGCUUUGAAGAUGUCAUGUACAAGCUUACGGGAUUCGAGGAUAAGCUCCAGAAGUAUGAAAGUCCCACUGAAGUCAAUCAGCAUCAAGCUUUCUAUACUGAUAGAGGAGGUUACUCUGGUCGUGGUAGAGGUCAAAACCGAGGUGGCUUCAGAGGAAGAGGAUACUACACUACUCAAGGAAGAGGCUAUUACACUACUCAAGGUAGAGGCUUUCCUCAACAGUUCGGCCAACAAGCUGGUCGUGGUUCCUCAUCCUCAACUGAUCAGAGACCCACCUGUCAAAUCUGUGGCAAGUAUGGCCACCCUGCAUACAAGUGUUACAGGCGCUUUGAUCAGUCUUUCCAAGUUGAGGAAAUGAAACAUGCCUUAGCAACCAUGAAAGUGUCAGAUGGUGCUGGAGACUCAAGAACAGACUGGUUCCCUGAUACUGCAGCCACACAUCACAUCACCAACGAUCCUCAGCAUCUGCUCUCUGCUGUUCCAUAUGAAGGGCACGACUCAGUGAUCGUAGGUAAUGGGGAUUUUCUGCCAAUCACUCACAUAGGCUCCAUUCCUCUUCCUGCUUUCUCAGGUAACCUUCACUUGAAAGAAGUAUUGGUUUGUCCUAACAUCACUAAAUCCCUACUAUCAGUCUCAAAGCUUACAGAUGAUUAUCCUUGUGAAUUCACCUUUGAUUCUACACAUGUGUAUGUUAAGGACAAGGCAACACAACAUCUUCUCAGUCAGGGAAGAAAGGAUAAAGGUCUCUACAGGUUGGAGAAUCCUCAGUUUCUGGCCUUCUACUCAGUAAGACAGCAAGCUGCCUCUGAUGAGAUCUGGCAUAGAAGAUUGGGGCAUACUCACCAUCAAGUUCUUCAACACCUAUCAUCAAUAAAAGCUAUCACCAUCAAUAAGAAGUCUCAGUCCAUGUGUGAAGCUUGUCACUUAGGAAAGUCUUGUAAACUUCCUUUUUCAGAGUCUGUUUUUCAAGCCAUUAGACCUCUUGAGAGGAUACACUGUGAUGUGUGGGGACCUGCACCUGUUGUUUCGGUUCAGGGGUUCAGAUAUUAUGUUGUAUUCAUUGAUAACUACUCAAGGUUCUCUUGGAUUUAUCCUAUUAAGUUAAAGUCUGAAGUCUUUUCAAAAUUCAAAGUCUUUCAGCAUCUUGUCGAGAAUCUUUUUAAACAGAAGAUAGGUGUUUUUCAGAGUGAUGGAGGGGGAGAAUUUCUCAACACUCAACUUAUCUCCCACCUCACUAACUGUGGCAUCAGACAUUACAUUUCAUGUCCACAUACUCCAGAGCAGAAUGGUCUUGCUGAAAGAAAGCAUAGACACAUCACUGAACUUGGAUUAUCCAUGCUCUUUCAAGCUCAUAUGCCUGCAAAUCUUUGGGUUGAUGCGUUUCUUACUGCCAAUUUCGUCAUCAAUCUUCUCCCGACAACCACUAAUGCAGAUAUGAUCAGUUCCUUCGAGAAGCUCACUGGUAAGAAGCCUGUCUACACAUCACUGCGAGUAUUAGGUUGUGCUUGCUUCCCUUACCUACGCCCCUAUGCUCAGCACAAGUUCGAUCCCAAGUCGUUGAUGUGUGUGUUCUUGGGCUACUCUGAGACAUACAAAGGCUACAGGUGUCUCUAUCCACCAACUGGCAGAGUCUAUCUGAGCAGACAUGUCCUAUUUGAUGAAGCAUCAUUUCCCUUCUCAGACAGAUACAAACAACUCGUCCCACCUCCUCUAACUCCCCUAUCCCAGGCUUGGUUGAGAAAAUCUGAGGAGACAGUAGCAGAACAACAGCAGUCUACUAAUAGCAGUGAAGAAGAAUCAGUGGCUGUUCAGAUACAACAACCUCAGAUUAAUACUCCAAACCACUCUGAUGCUGAAGACGCAAAUGACUCUCAAUCUCCAGCGCACACUUCAUCAGAAGAGGACUCAGACACUUCUUCGGCACAUGAGAAUGAUGAACAGAUUGAUAUAGUGGCUCCUGAACCUCUAGCUCACCAAGAAGACAAUGUGCAUUCAAUGGUCACUAGAGCAAGAGCUGGUAUCGUCAAACCAAACCCACGGUAUGUCAUGCACACUGUCAAAGGCAUUCCGACCGAACCAAAGACAACUACAGCAGCUCUGAAACAUCCUGGUUGGACAGGAGCUAUGGUAGAAGAAAUAGAUACCUGCAAGGAAACUAAUACAUUCAGCUUAGUUCCUCUCCCUGCCGGUAUCAAACCUCUGGGAAGCCGCUGGGUUCACAGGGUUAAACUCAACUCUGAUGGCACUUUUAAAUGUUUCAGAUCAAGAGUGGUUGCCAAGGGAUAUGAACAAGAAGAAGGUAUUGAUUUUUUGGAGACUUACAGUCCGGUAGUGAGGACAGCUACUGUUCGAAUGGUAUUACACUUGGCUGUAACAGAGAGAUGGGAUGUCAAACAAUUGGAUGUAAAAAAUGCUUUUUUACAUGGGGACUUACAAGAAUCUGUAUACAUGAAACAGCCCCCUGGUUUUGAAGAUAAAGAUCAUCCUGAUCAUGUAUGGAAACUGAACAAAGCUAUCUACGGGCUUAAACAAGCUCCAAGAGCAUGGUUUGAUAAGUUCAGCUCUUAUCUCAUCGAGUUUGGUUUUCUCUGCAGUGCUCGUGAUCCGUCCUUAUUCAUUUAUCAACAUGGAAAGAACAUUAUGCUACUUCUUCUCUAUGUUGAUGAUAUGAUUCUUACAGGAAACAACAAGAAGCUUCUAUCUGAUUUUCUACAUUCAGUGAGUGAAAAAUUCAGAAUGAAAGACAUGGGGCCUUUAAGCUAUUUUCUUGGGAUACAAGCUCUACAUACAGAGACUGGGUUAUUCCUAAAUCAAGAAAAAUACGCUACUGAUCUACUCCAAGCUGCAGGCAUGCUCGACUGUUCUCCCAUGCCUACUCCCUUGCCAUUGCAGACCGACAGAGUACCACAUCAAGAGACUCACUUCUCUGAUCCGACGUACUUCAGAAGUUUGGCUGGUAAGUUACAAUACCUCACCCUUACCAGACCUGACAUUCAAUAUGCUGUCAAUUUUGUGUGUCAAAAGAUGCACAUGCCGACUCUUUCUGAUUUUCAUCUACUCAAGAGGAUUCUUCGCUACUUGAAAGGGACAAUCACCAUGGGACUUUCUCUUAGUGCUGACACAGAUUUAACAUUGAGAGCUUACUGUGACAGUGAUUGGGCAGGAUGCAAAGACACCAGACGAUCAACUGGUGGAUUCUGCACAUUCCUUGGCUCAAAUAUAAUAUCUUGGUCCGCAAAGCGCCAAGACAGUGUUGCUCGUUCUUCGACUGAAGCCGAGUAUAGGUGCCUUUCUGAUACAGCAGCAGAACUCUCAUGGUUAUCUGCUAUGCUUCAGGAGUUCGGGAUUCCUCAAACAGAACCAGCUGAAGUUUACUGUGAUAACCUCUCUGCUGUUCACCUCACCGCCAAUCCUGUCCUGCACAAGAGAACUAAACACUUCGAAACUCAUUAUCAUUAUGCUAGAGAGAGAGUUGCCAAAGGAUCACUUGUCGUCAAACAUAUUCCUGCUAGUCUUCAAAUUGCAGAUAUCUUCACCAAGUCACUUCCAAUCCGUGCCUUUGCUGAGCUACGUUUCAAACUCGGUUUGGAAGAAACUCCCACCUCGAGUUUGCGAGGGGGUGUAAACACAGUAAGCCCAACAAGAGAGAUGGGCUCAGGUGAUGAGUUGAAGACUAAGGCCCAGUCAAAGAUCUCAACGGCUAAGACUACAAAACGUGAAGACAAAGCUUCCUCUACUGCAAGACAGAGUACGAACUCUAGCAUUAAAAUGCAGAACAGGUUUUGUCUUCUUACAGACAAAGACUCAUGAGAUCUACUUUACAGCUGAGCAGAAUAUGCUACAGUAUAUUCUAUUAGGGCUUUUGUAUUCACCUCAUGUAUAAAUAAACAAUCUUGUAAUCUCUUCUUCUCUAAGCAAUGAGAAUGAAUAUUUGAUAAACCCUAGCUUUUACUCUGUCCUUCUUGUUUCAUUUUGCUUAC